UGAGUACGAGAUGCUACGGCAUCGAAGCAGUCUAUGUCAUACUUCCAAGAAAAGCUCGCACUGUCAUAAACAAAUAAUGCCUGUACCAUAACCGACACAGGUGGGUAGGUAGAGUAUACUAAGGGGCGCGAGAUAACUCUCUCUAAGGAACUCGGCAAAAUGACUCCGUAACUUCGGGAGAAGGAGUGCCUUAUUUAUAAGGUUGCAAUAACAAGAUCCAAGCAACUGUUUAUCAAAAACACAGGUCUCCGCUAAGUCGUAAGACGAUGUAUGGGGGCUGACGCCUGCCCAGUGCCAGAAGGUUAAAGAAGUUGGUUAGCAUUAGCGAAGCUGAUAACUGAAGCCCUGGUGAACGGCGGCCGUAACUAUAACGGUCCUAAGGUAGCGAAAUUCCUUGUCGGGUAAGUUCCGACCCGCACGAAAGGCGUAAUGAUUUGGAUAUUGUCUCGGAGAGGGGCUCGGUGAAAUAGACUUGUCUGUGAAGAUGCGGACUACCUGCACCUGGACAGAAAGACCCUAUGAAGCUUUACUGUAACUUGAAAUUGAAAUUGGACUUUAUUUGCGCAGCAUAGGUGGGAGGCGUUGAAAAUAUUCUCGCGGGAAUAUUAGAGCCAUCAGUGAGAUACCACUCUUGUAAUGUUAGAUUUCUAACUUUGUAUCAUUAUCUGGUCAAAGAACAGUUUCAGGCGGGCAGUUUGACUGGGGCGGUCGCCUCCUAAACGGUAACGGAGGCGCACAAAGGUUUCCUCUGAACGGGUAGAAAUCGUAUCUAGAGUGUAAAGGCAUAAGGAAGCUUGACUGUGAGACCUACAAGUCGAGCAGGGACGAAAGUCGGUCUAGUGAUCUGACGGUGCUGAGUGGAAAGGCCGUCACUCAACGGAUAAAAGUUACUCUAAGGAUAACAGGCUGAUCUCCCCCAAGAGUUCACAUCGACGGGGAGGUUUGGCACCUCGAUGUCGGCUCAUCGCAUCCUGGGGCGGUAGUACGUCCCAAGGGUUGGGCUGUUCGCCCAUGAAAGCGGUACGCGAGCUGGGUUCAGAACGUCGUGAGACAGUUCGGUCCAUAUCCGGUGUAGGCGUUAGAAUAUUGAGAGGAGCCUUCUUUAGUACGAGAGGACCGAGAAGGACAUACCUCUGGUGUACCAGUUAUCGUGCCAACGGUAAACGCUGGGUAGCUAUGUAUGGAGAGGAUAACCGCUGAAAGCAUCUAAGUGGGAAGCCCACCUCAAGAUAAGUAUUCUCAC
rnacentral:rRNA from 1 species